GCCAAGGGUACACUCCAACAGUCAGACAUAAUUUACAAAGGAGGCAUGUGUUUAGGUUGUCCUCCAGACCAGAGGCAGUAGGGAUGACCAGGGAUGUUCUCUGUUUAGUGAGUCCUCUAGAUCAGAGGCAGUAGGGAUGACCAGGGAUGUUCUCUGUUUAGUGAGUCCUCUAGAUCAGAGGCAGUAGGGAUGACCAGGGAUGUUCUCUGUUUAGUGAGUCCUCCAGAUCAGAGGCAGUAGGGAUGACCAGGGAUGUUCUCCGUUUAGUGAGUCCUCCAGAUCAGAGGCAGUAGGGAUGUUCUCUUGAUAAGUGUGUGAAUUGGACCAUUUUCCUGUCAAAAUGUCACAAGUACUUUUGGGUCUCAGGGAAAAUGUAUGGAGAAAAAAGUUCAUAAUUUUCCUUAGGAAUGUAGUGAAGUAAAAGUAACAGUUGGCAAAAAUAUAAAAAAUAGUUAAGUACAGACACCCAAAAAAACUACUUAAGUAGUACUUUCAAGUAUUUUUACUUAAGUACUUUACACCACUGCAUGUAAAGUGUUGGUCACAUGUUUCAUGAGCUGAAAUAAAAUAUCCCAGAAAUGUUCCAUAGCACACAAAGCUUAUUUCUCUCAAACAUCUUACUGAGCAUUUCUCCUUUGCCAAGAUAAUCCAUCCACCUGACAGGUGUGGCACAUCAACAAGCUGAUUAAACAGCAUGAUCAUUAGGCAGGUGCACCUUGUGCAGGGGACAAUAAAAGGCCACUCUAAAAUGUGCAGUUUUGUCACACAACGCCACAGAUGUCUUAUGUCACAUGUCUCAGUAAGCAAUUGGCAUGCUGACUGCAGGAAUGUCCACCAGAGGUGUUGCCAGAUAAUUGAAUGUUCAUUUCUCAUCCGGCUUCUUCGCCUGCGGGACCGUCUUGAGACCAGCCACGUGGCCAGCUGAUGAAAACAUGUGCUCGCACAACCGAGGAAUAUUUGCAAACUGCCAGAAACAGUCUCAGGGAAGCUCAUCUGUGUGCUCAUCGUCCUCAACAGGGUCUUGACCUGACUGCAGUGGGGAAAUGCUCAAGUUCGAUGGCCACUGGCACGCUGGAGAAGUGUGCUCUUCACGGAUGAAUCCCAGUUUCAUUUGUACCUGGCAGAUGGCAGACAGCGUGUAUGGCAUUGUGUGGGAUAGCGGUUUGCUGACGUCAGUGUUGUGACCAGAGUGCCCCAUGGUGGAGGUGGGGUUAUGGUAUGGGCCCCAUGGUGGAGGUGGGGUUAUGGUAUGGGCCCCAUGGUGGAGGUGGGGUUAUGGUAUGGGCCCCAUGGUGGAGGUGGGGUUAUGGUAUGGGCCCCAUGGUGGCGGUGGGGUUAUGGUAUGGGCCCCAUGGUGGAGGUGGGGUUAUGGUAUGGGCCCCAUGGU
rnacentral:lncRNA from 1 species